rnacentral:rRNA from 1 species
CCUACGGGUGGCAGCAGUAGGGAAUAUUGCUCAAUGGGGGAAACCCUGAAGCAGCAACGCCGCGUGGAGGCUGAAGGUUCUCGGAUUUUAAACUCCCUUUGUUAGAGAAGUUAAUGACGGCACCUGACGAUUAAGCACCGGCUAACUCCGUGACAGCAGCCGCGGUAAUACGGAGGGUGCAAGCGUUAUUCGGAAUCACUGGGCGUAAAGAGCGCGUAGGCGGGAUAGCAAGUCAGAUGUGAAAUGCUAUGGCUUAACCAUAGAACUGCAUUUGAAACUGUUAUUCUAGAGUAUAGGAGAGGUAGGUGGAAUUCUUGGUGUAGGGGUAAAAUCCUUAGAGAUCAAGAGGAAUACUCAUUGCGAAGGCAACCUGCUAGAACAUAACUGACGCUGAUGCGCGAAAGCGUGGGGAGCAAACAGGAUUAGAUACCCGAGUAGUC